GUUAAUAUUUGGCAAACUUACUGAAAAGUGAGGACGCAAAACUAAAGGGCCUAAGUGAUUUAUAUGGCUGCCAGUUGCAAAA
rnacentral:ncRNA from 1 species